rnacentral:rRNA from 1 species
UCGAGCGGCAGCGUAAAAGAAGUUUUUUUUCUUUGUCGGCGAGCGGCGGACGGGUGAGUAAUGUAUGGGGAUCUACCUUAAGGAGUGGGAUAACUAUUAGAAAUGAUAGCUAAUACCACAUAAUCUCUGAGGAGCAAAGUGGGGGACUCUUUUAAGAGCCUCAUGCCUUUAGAUGAACCCAUAUGAGAUUAGCUAGUAGGUAAGGUAAUGGCUUACCUAGGCUACGAUCUCUAGCUGGUCUGAGAGGAUGACCAGCCACACUGGGACUGAGACACGGCCCAGACUCCUACGGGAGGCAGCAGUGGGGAAUAUUGCACAAUGGGCGAAAGCCUGAUGCAGCUAUGCCGCGUGUAUGAAGAAGGCCUUCGGGUUGUAAAGUACUUUCAGUUGUGAGGAAGGAAUUAAAGUUAAUACCUUUGAUUAUUGACAUUAGCAACAGAAGAAGCACCGGCUAACUCCGUGCCAGCAGCCGCGGUAAUACGGAGGGUGCAAGCGUUAAUCGGAAUUACUGGGCGUAAAGGGCACGCAGGUGGUUAAUUAAGUUGGAUGUGAAAUCCCUUGGCUUAACCUUGGAAUUGCAUUCAAAACUGAUUAGCUAGAGUCUUGUAGAGGGAGGUAGAAUUCCAUGUGUAGCGGUGAAAUGCGUAGAGAUAUGGAGGAAUACCAGUGGCGAAGGCGACCUCCUGGACAAAGACUGACGCUCAUGUGCGAAAGCAUGGGGAGCAAACAGGAUUAGAUACCCUGGUAGUCCAUGCUGUAAACGAUGUCGAUUUGGAGGUUGUGACUUUAUUUGUUGUGGCUUCCGUAGCUAACGCGUUAAAUCGACCGCCUGGGGAGUACGGCCGCAAGGUUAAAACUCAAAUGAAUUGACGGGGGCCCGCACAAGCGGUGGAGCAUGUGGUUUAAUUCGAUGCAACGCGAAGAACCUUACCUACUCUUGACAUCCAAAGAAGUGAACAGAGAUGUUUAUGUGCCUUCGGGAACUUUGAGACAGGUGCUGCAUGGCUGUCGUCAGCUCGUGUUGUGAAAUGUUGGGUUAAGUCCCGCAACGAGCGCAACCCUUAUCCUUUGUUGCCAU